rnacentral:rRNA from 1 species
AACGAACGCUGGCGGCAUGCCUAACACAUGCAAGUCGAACGAGAUCUUCGGGUCUAGUGGCGCACGGGUGCGUAACGCGUGGGAAUCUGCCCUUUGGUUCGGAAUAACAGUUGGAAACGACUGCUAAUACCGGAUGAUGACGAAAGUCCAAAGAUUUAUCGCCAGAGGAUGGGCCCGCGUAGGAUUAGCUAGUUGGUGUGGUAAAGGCGCACCAAGGCGACGAUCCUUAGCUAGUCUGAGAGGAUGAUCAGCCACACUGGGACUGAGACACGGCCCAGACCCCUACGGGAGGCAGCAGUGGGGAAUAUUGGACAAUGGGCGAAAGCCUGAUCCAGCAAUGCCGCGUGAGUGAUGAAGGCCUUAGGGUUGUAAAGCUCUUUUACCCGGGAUGAUAAUGACAGUACCGGGAGAAUAAGCUCCGGCUAACUCCGUGCCAGCCGCCGCCGUAA